rnacentral:rRNA from 1 species
GACGGAGGGUGCUAGCGUUGUUCGGAAUGACUGGGCGUAAAGGGCGCGUAGGCGGGUUCGCAAGUCUGUGGUGAAAGCCUCCAGCUUAACUGGAGAAGUGCCAUGGAUACUGCGCAUCUUGAGGAGGGUAGGGGCGUCUGGAACGGUCGGUGGAGCGGUGAAAUGCGUAGAUAUCAGGAGGAACACCGGUGGCGAAGGCGGCUUCCUGGAAAAUAACUGACGCUGAGGCGCGAAAGCUAGGGGAGCAAACAGG